rnacentral:rRNA from 1 species
AGCGAACGCUGGCGGCAGGCCUAACACAUGCAAGUCGAACGAACCCUUCGGGGUUAGUGGCGGACGGGUGAGUAACACGUGGGAACGUGCCUUUAGGUUCGGAAUAACUCAGGGAAACUUGUGCUAAUACCGAAUGUGCCCUUCGGGGGAAAGAUUUAUCGCCUUUAGAGCGGCCCGCGUCUGAUUAGCUAGUUGGUGAGGUAAUGGCUCACCAAGGCUACGAUCAGUAGCUGGUCUGAGAGGAUGACCAGCCACAUCGGGACUGAGACACGGCCAAAACUCCUACGGGAGGCAGCAGUGGGGAAUCUUGCGCAAUGGGCGAAAGCCUGACGCAGCCAUGCCGCGUGGAUGAUGAAGGUCUUAGGAUUGUAAAAUCCUUUCACCGGUGAAGAUAAUGACUGUAGCCGGAGAAGAAGCCCCGGCUAACUUCGUGCCAGCAGCCGCCGUAAUAC